rnacentral:lncRNA from 1 species
CUCCAAUACUUGAUCUGCCGUGCUAUCAUCAAAAUAUUCGCAAAGCGCGGAAAACUAAUGAGCAGGACAACACAACAAAAGUAGGCAAAGAAAAUAAAAAUACAUUUAAUAUCCUGUCGAUAGGAACAGAAUAUAUUCACAACCAAUUUCCGACCCAAAGGGUGAAAACAUUAAGUGCCGCAAUUAUCAAAACAUUCUUUACUGCUAUCGACUUCUUCAGUGAAACGGGGAAAAGUAGCAUGAAAGAUACCGUUAUGAAAGAGGAAAUAUAAACUAACACGAUCUUUAAUAUCUUAUCGAUAGGAAAAGAAAACAUUCUCCAAUACUUCUCAACCCAUAAGAUGAAAACAAUUGCCUUUGUUGUCAUGAAAACAUUCCCUGCCACUAUCGACACUUCUGGCGAAAUGUCAAAAUCUAAUGCUAAAAUAAUGUCACAAUAGUAGGCAGACAAAAUAACAAGAACUCUAAGAAUAUUAACAUCUUGUCGACGGAAAGAGAAGACAGUAAUAAG